rnacentral:misc_RNA from 1 species
GAGUGGUUUUGGAUGUGGGGGUUUGCUGGUCUCUUUAAAGGUUUCAGCUCCCCUGAAAUGCAUUAGCAGAACAACCUGUUCAUUGGCGUGAUAACUAUCUAUGCUAUUGAAUGUGAAGGGCAGUUCAGCUUUCUAACAGUCUUUGGACAAUUCAUCAUUAAUGUGGCCUCAAAUCAGGUAGGACUACCCGCUGAACUUAA